rnacentral:rRNA from 1 species
GAUGAACGCUGGGGGCGUGCCUAAUACAUGCAAGUCGAGCGAACAGAUGAGGAGCUUGCUCCUCUGACGUUAGCGGCGGACGGGUGAGUAACACGUGGAUAACCUACCUAUAAGACUGGGAUAACUUCGGGAAACCGGAGCUAAUACCGGAUAAUAUAUUGAACCGCAUGGUUCAAUAGUGAAAGACGGUUUUGCUGUCACUUAUAGAUUGAUCCGCGCCGCAUUAGCUAGUUGGUAAGGUAACGGCUUACCAAGGCGACGAUGCGUAGCCGACCUGAGAGGGUGAUCGGCCACACUGGAACUGAGACACGGUCCAGACUCCUACGGGAGGCAGCAGUAGGGAAUCUUCCGCAAUGGGCGAAAGCCUGACGGAGCAACGCCGCGUGAGUGAUGAAGGUCUUCGGAUCGUAAAACUCUGUUAUUAGGGAAGAACAAAUGUGUAAGUAACUAUGCACGUCUUGACGGUACCUAAUCAGAAAGCCACGGCUAACUACGUG